CCUACGGGUGGCAGCAGUGGGGAAUAUUGCACAAUGGGGGAAACCCUGAUGCAGCGACGCCGCGUGAGUGAAGAAGGAUCUCGGUAUGUAAAGCUCUAUCAGCAGGGAAGAAAAUGACGGUACCUGACUAAGAAGCCCCGGCUAACUACGUGCCAGCAGCCGCGGUAAUACGUAGGGGGCAAGCGUUAUCCGGAUUUACUGGGUGUAAAGGGAGCGUAGGCGGCCAGGGAAGCCAGCAGUGACAGCCCGCGGCUCAACGGCGGGACUGCUUUUGGAACUAUCUAGCUAGAUUGCAGGAGAGGUAAGUGGACUUCCUGUUGUAGCGGUGAUCUGCUUAGAUAUUA
rnacentral:rRNA from 1 species